rnacentral:lncRNA from 1 species
GCGGAACAGCCGCUGCCCCGGCCCGACGCGCUCACCCUCCAGGGCCUCGAAGAUCGCCUGCGCCAUCUUGGAGCUGCCGCCGCCCGGGGAGUCGGAGCGGGGCUACGCAAGCAUUGUGAGAACCGCGGCGGGGUCGGGGCCGCCAGGGGGCGCCCAGGAGCCGACGCCGAAGCCCCUGCCCCGGAAACAGCUUGCCCCGCUGUCCGGCCGGAGACCCAGUCCCCUAGUAGUUCCAAUUCUACACAGACAUACGUCCGGCGCUCGCACAUCGCCUCCCAACGCGGACACCGACCCCAGUUCUUCAACACGCACCCCAUGAUCGCUGCACACAGUCUUCUUCAAGGUUGCAACACCAACCCACCUCACCGAGAUUGUCUGUUACAUGGACACCCCACACCUUGCAACUGUGCCACGCUGAUUGGAAAGCAGCCUUCUCGAAGGACUCCUAUCUCUGGUCUUAAUUCCUCAGUUUAUGUUAGAUUCCCUCAGUGCUCUUCUUAACCCCAAUUUCCAGCUUUGGAGGGACCUCCAUUCCCAUUCACACACCUCUCGACUGUGAUUCUCUGAGACCCCAUUUCUUUGACGACCCUAUUACCAUUUCAGCCAUUCCUAGCUCAAACUCAUAGGGAGGGGAUCCACUCCCAACUUCAUGUCGUCGUUUUUACAUUUAUUAUUAAUUUUGUUUUGUGUAUAUGGACACACAUGGCAUAUAUCUACACACAGACACACAACAAAACACAUGUGUGAAGAUCAGAGGACAACGUUCCGGAAUCGAUUCUCUUCCCUCCAUCAUGUGAGACCCUGGCACUGAACUCAGUCCAGCAGCAAGUGCUUUUACCAGCUGAGCCGUCUCUAAGUUUUGUUUAUAAUCCAUGAAGUCCAAUUUGAACUGCUGGUACAUUAUAUUGAUCAGUGUGUCAGUGUGGGGUCAUCCACUGGAACAUGGUUUAUCAGGGACUACAUAUACACUUAGAGGACUUUCUCUCCCAAGACAGACCUCUGGGGAUUUGUGAGGUCCUCAUCCAUGCAUUCUGGAAUGAUGACUGGCUUGAUCCUGUGCAGGUGGAGAAAGCUACAGCUGGUCUGAGUUUGCAAGUGCUGUAGCCCUGCCAUUUCCAAGACACGAUUUCACCCCAGGCCUCCCCAAACUCUGGCUCUUAUAUCUUUCCACCCCGACAUUCACCAUGAUGCCUGAGUCUUGGAAAGAGGAAAAGAUGAGAUAGAAGUCCUACUGUGGCUAAACACUCUACUGACACUUUAACUAGUUGUGAGUUUCUGACUUAACUGUCCUCUGUUGCACAAAGUUCUGUAAUGCUGGCUCACUUAAUAGUCUCACUUAAUAGUGUCAGCUGCCCUGAGUGUGUGGGGCUCGAAGAGGGCAGGGCUGCAUACAGAGCCUGGUGAAUGAAUGCUAAGCUGGUGAUCUACUUUAGCUCCACCUCAACCCUUGACCUUUAAUUUUGACCUCAGUUUUUGUACUUACUAUUCUCUCCAGCUUCCAUUACCCUUCCUAACAGCUGACACCACUGCUUCUUGGGUCAUCUACCUCCUCAAAGAGGCCUUUCCUGACCAACUACCCUGACUAACAUAGCUUCUCCUUGUACCAGAAUAAAAAUUAUCUGAAGCCA